rnacentral:rRNA from 1 species
CAGUAGCCACGGUAAUACGUAGGUGGCAAGCGUUGUCCGGAAUUAUUGGGCGUAAAGGGCUCGCAGGCGGUUUCUUAAGUCUGAUGUGAAAGCCCCCGGCUCAACCGGGGAGGGUCAUUGGAAACUGGGAAACUUGAGUGCAGAAGAGGAGAGUGGAAUUCCACGUGUAGCGGUGAAAUGCGUAGAGAUGUGGAGGAACACCAGUGGCGAAGGCGACUCUCUGGUCUGUAACUGACACUGAGGAGCGAAAGCGUGGGGAGCGAACAGGAUUAGAUACCCCAGUAGUCCCUGUCUCUUAUAC